GUCGGCUGUGGCAAACACCCCGUGGUUUCCAUGAGGAGGCUCAGGGAUGUUCUGAGCUGCUUGUUGGGAAAACUGGAGGAUCCUGCCCAUCCUGUCCCUCCCUGGAGGCAGAGCUGGCACCACAGAGCCAGACAAUGGCCUCUGCUCAGUCCAGGACCCUUGGGAAGCUGGGCACUGCAGUGCAGGAGGCACAAAAUGUGGACACAGACAGGGUUCAUCAUAACACCUCCUGUGUAUUCUCUGUGGGGUGUGGGCUAGAGCAGUCUAAAUACACUACAUGCACUAAAUUCGUUUUUCUAGCACUCAGAUGAAUUUAUUUUCCUUUCUGAAGCCUGUGCAUGUCUCCGUGCCCAAAGCCAUUUUAAGGUCUCAGGUGUAAUACCCCUUUGGCUCCCCUGCCAGUCAGAUUUGUGUUCUUACAGGUUCUUUGAAUGCCAUGCAACCUUCAGACACAGAAAUCUUCAUAAAAUAAAACAAAAUAAAAUGAAAUUGUUCCUAAAAUUCUUCCCUCUCCCCAUGAGGGAGGAAUUCUUCCCCGUUCUUCCCUCCCCAAACAUUCAUGAUGGUUUCAAACAUCGAGACAGCAACCUGAUUCUGACAGAGCCUGGAAUUUUCUCAUAUGAGGUGCUGCUGGGACAUCCGAGGCAGAAAUUUAAUCAGGACUAGGGGCAGCUAUCAGAGAAGGCUGUCAUGCCUAGGAAACCUCAAAUUAUGUGCUAAUUAUCCACCUACACUGCCAGGGAAUAAAUAAAUAAUGACUUCAGCUUACUGUGCUAAAGAUAAUUCCAGUUGUAACAAGAUUGCAGGCUGAGUUUUUCCAUGAUGUGUUGGCAAUGCAGUAAGGAGCAAAAAGGUUUGCUGAGGAGUGACUGGGUGGGUUUGGAGUCCAGUGGGCUCCAGAGCAGCAGAAUCAAAGCUCAGGGUGGUCACUUUGGAGGGGUGACUGCUGCUCAUUGCCUGCCUCCUGAAAGGGCUGUGUAAUGACGUGUAGACGGGUAUCUGCUCUUUUCCACUCCACUUUCUUGCUCUGUAGUGUUGCUUCUAAUCACAGGAAAGGAUUUUAAUCAGAGAAACAGGCUUUGUCCUCACCUUGACCUUGCAAACAAAAGAAAAUGCUGAAAAGAGGAUCCUUUUUGAGACAAGGUGUAAGAUGUAUUGUUCAAACCUGAACAUUUCUAAAGCUGAGAUCAAACUAGAUUAGGCUCAUGCAUGGGAGUGAAAAAUAAUGCCAGCCUUUCUUUUAAGUAUUUGAGAUGAAUGUUUGCUUGCUUGCUUCUUUAAAAACUAGAAAAAUUAACAAUUUUUCCAUUCUAGGAGCUCAGUGUUUGCUCAAGUAGAAAGGCUGCUGGCAAUAUGGAAAGGUGUUUUUAUCUCCUUUCCUAGGUCUUCCUUCCCCUGUUUUAUAUUUGGAAUAAUUAGCUGAAACUGGUGAAUUUUGUUAGCACCAGGAAUAAGUCUACCUGGAUUUGAGGAGGAAGGGAAGCAGAGAAAGAGUGAGAAGUAGGAGGAGAUAAAUGUCAGGCAUGAUCCAUAUAUCACUGUGAUCUAGCACUGGUCAGCCCAAGUGGACAGCAGAGGUGAGAAGCAGCGUGACAGCUCCACACCACAUCUGGCCCCUGCUCUUUCCCCAGGACAGACUACAAUUAUCAAACCCUACAUGAAUAACUUAAAGAGAGUUUAAAUAGGUGUUGGUUGAUGGAAAGCUGCUGAGGAGUCAUGGCUUUAAUCCUGAGCGAAAAUGAGAGCCGGAAUGUGAAGAGCCAGAAAAAGAGGAAAACUUGGAGAAGAAAGUGAGAAUUCCACAUUCAUGAGAGCAGAAGAUUAGACCUUGCCUUCCCCUUUGGAAACAAUUGGUGCUCCAGACUCCCUAUUCAUUGGUUGGUUUGCUUCACCACUUCCCUCCCUAAAGUAUUGGCAGUCCCUGGACAGUUUUAAGCAAGCUUUAAGGAAAGACUAAGACCAGAAUAUUCAUAUGAAUAUUUUUCUGAGUAAUCAAACUUUGUACUAUGGCGAGCUGUUCCCAAUUCUCCAAACCCACCCAUCAUUUUUGUCAUAUGCUACACAUACAGAGUUUGCUCUUUCCCAGUGCCUCAGCAGCAGCUCACAGGACUAUAAGCACACAAAUUUCUGUAGCACUAUGUGCAAAAGCAAUCCCUGGCUGUUGCAUUUGUAGUUCUAAACAGGAAAAAAGCAUUUAAAGCUAAUAAUCAUAUUUUAUUGUGGGACUAGCAGUUACAAAGUCAGGCUGUUUCUUCAGUACUGCCAUUUCUGAGCCACCUAAUGAGAAUGUGUUGCCAUGGCAACCAAUGCCAUAAGUUUUUUUGGAUUUUUUUAAAGUAAUUAAACUUUCUAAGUCAAUUUUCCCUUACUUGCCAGGUUAGGACAUGGAAUGUUGCUUAUUGUUUUCUGCUGGAGCACUGAGGUGACUCAGAGGGCCAGCAGGGCUGGAGCUACCUGAUGAGAUAUCAACUAUGCAACGCCUUUGUUAAUAAAUUAUUCUUUUUCUGAUAUGUGGCAGGUGUGGGAGGGCUCGAUGAAAAUUUGUGAAUAAUUCUAUUCCAACUGGAUUGGUGGGGUGUUGCUAAAUGGAGAUAUGAGAUUAAAUGCUAAGACUUUGCUUUGUGACCAGGUGAAUGUACAGGAGACGAGGAUGCUCAGAUGCCAUUGAGACAAAUGUGUGUGAGCAUGAUAUGAAAAACAGCAUCUUUGCCAGGCUGAUAGUAGAAUGAGAGACAUCCCUGAUUCAAGCUCUGCUUGGUGCUGUCAGAUUUAUUUACCAGCCCUCAUAUGCUGUACAACAUGGAGCUUAUUUCCAAGGCACAGAAUGCCCCAAGAACAUAAUGGAGGGAGGGGACCAAGUCUGCUCAAUUCCUGCAAAACAGGGAUCUGUAAAGUGCCCAGAUCCCUUUGCUGUAGCUUGAUGUACAAACACUGCUGGCUGUUCAGGGCAUUCUCUGCUCAGAGCCAGCUUUGGGAAUACACAGAACAUAUGGGCCAGCCACAGAGCAGCAUGGAAGAGUGAGGCCCAUUUCAUGCCUUCUUUGAUUCUGCUUGAAUUUCCUGAAGUCACUGUAUGCCUUUCCAAAUGCCUGUCAAACCUCAUCUUAAAAACUACAGCUGUCAGCUAUAAGAUCCUACAAAGUUUAUUUUAGCUACACUCUGCUUGUGCCCUUUAGCUCAAAAAAAAUGAGUUUCCAGGAGAAAACAGAGGAAAAAGCUCCUUAAGUGUUUUAAUUUUUAACUGUGAAAAGGCUCUGCUUAAGCAUCACAGACAGAAGCAACAGCCCAGAAAGCUGCAGACACUUUAAAGCAUUUGGUUUUAUUGAUCAUACUGCUUGCUGUUCUACUGAAAUGAUAUGAAAUAAAGUAUAAAGAGAUCUUUGUAGAAUAUUUGGUAUCUUGACUUCUGUAGGACAACAGAAGAUCCAAGCAAAUAAUGGGGGUUUUUUAUGUUUGGUGGCUUAAACUGGAAUCAAAUUUUCUUUCAGCUUUGCCUGAAUAUCACACUUUAGCUUUUUAUAACAAACUAAAAUUUGACACAAGUAGUCUUGGUUUAGAAGGAAUUUUGUUAUUGAUGUGAUUUCUUAACAUAACACUGAAUUUAGCUGUUAAAAAUUACAAAACCUGCUUAUUUUCCCUUGGAGCACAAUCUUUUCCUGCUACCUAAAGAACAUCUCUAACCUGUCCAAAUAUGUCUGAAGGCAUAUUUGUAUGUCCCCAACCUAUGCCAGUUGUUUCCUGCUCCCCUCUUCAAGUGCACUGAUACAUGACAGGGCUCUUUGCAGUAUUUAUUGUCUUGGACCGGCCUCUGCCCUGAGGGGCUCUCUGGGUGUCUCACUUGAAACGACUACAAAUCUGUGACAGCAUAAUUAGGGCAAUCUGCUGGAUGCAGGUGCCUUUUUAAUUUACUCUGGUGAAUAUGGAGCAUUUUCACAAUGUCAUUCCCCCUAACAAAUCAGAGCUCACAGAUUCUCUUUCACAGCACAAGUUUGCUGGCUCUCGGAGCAGGUGAGUGAUGGAGCAGGAGAGCAGCUUUGACACCAUGUUUUAUUUUCUUCCUUCCCUCUAAAGCCUGGUUAGCUGAUAUGAAAGCAAGAAGGCAUUUGUCAUGUAGGCCUUUGUUUCCCAAAGUGCAGAAGCUCACCUCUAAAACUCAGUCUUUGGGGAUGGGGAAAAAUAUCUGCAACAGGUUACUCAUGUUUGCACAUGGGAGAAGGAGUCUGGCACCAUCAAAACUUCCUGGUGUGUCCCUGAGCUUUUAAAAUGUGGAAAGAAAUAAGAAGAAAGCAAUAAUGAGAGGAGUCACAGAUAUGACACAAAUAAGAAAGAGUGAAAUAGAAUGUAAUUUGACAGCAAUGAGGAAAAUACUGAGAAAUCUAUCACAUCUGUGCUCCUGGUGUUAAGAAGGCAGUGAGAGCUGUUAGGAAGGCACAGAGCAUGAACUCACAGUACUUUUAUGCAAAGGCUACAGUAAUGAAUUCCAAUCUUGCCUGGGAGCAAUUCUUAAGAUAAGUACAAAGGUGAGACUGGAGUAUUGAUUUUUUUUUAAAGAUGAUAAAUUGGAGUGAGUUGUAAAAAGUUAGUGCUGCCUGGAACAGUUCACAUUAAAUCAGUGCACAAGUAAAGAGGUGCAGGCUCAAAGGGGAGUGUAUCAGGAUUGAAUUUUGGAUCUUGGAAUCAUUGCACAGUAGGGUCAUUCCUUCUUCCAUUCUGUUCUCUUUCCCCUGCCUUCUUUGUUGCAGUAACCCCUGUGGACAGAUCUCCAAUUAAUAAAACUUACCUUUAUGUAUGCAUUAUCAUAAUACAAAGGCUCAAGGGGAGCACAAUCCCUUCAUGCCUGAGCAAAUUUAAAACUCAUGAUUCUCCUGGGAUGCUUGCUGGGAAAUAGAGAAAGGGAAUAAAGGGCAUUCUAACAUUUCUGCUGAAUGAUUACUACUCCUUGCAAAGUGCUAUGAAGCUUGUUAGAUUCUGAACAUUUAUGGGAACCUUAUUGCUAUUAGAUCCUUUGAAACGACUGUAAUUAAAAAAUUCUGGUCUUUUUUACAUAGAAGGUCUGCACUGUGUGUUAAAUCAUUUUCUUGGAAGAGCCUGGGAGAAAUUAGAAAUGUGAUUGGUACAAUAAGAGCAAAUGACCAGAAAUAUUUAAAUUGCCAACAUCUUUUAAGAGAAAAUACUGUGAAUGCCAGGUUUGAAUGCACAUAUACAUUGGCCUAUAUUUUAUCCUUGGGACACAACUGUAUGCUUAUGAUUACUGUUACUAAAAAUUCUGAGGUUUUUACUUUUUGGUCUGUUGUGUGACUAGAGGAGUCAGGCCCAUCAUAGCUUGUGCUGUACAGAGCAUUUAUAGAAAGGCAGAUGCCCCAAAAAAUUGUUAAAA